rnacentral:rRNA from 1 species
GCUAAAAAUAACCGGUCUGCUUUUAUUAUUAAAAGUGGUAUCUUGGUGUGUUUUUAGCAAUAAUGUCCUUUGAAAUGUUUUUUACUUUAUUGUGAGAAGCAAUUUUCAGGAUUUUUACUUUGAGAAAAUUAGAGUGUUUCAAGCAGGCUAACGUUUUGAAUACUGCAGCAUGGAAUAAUAAAAUAGGAUUUUAGUUCUACGUUAUUGGUUUUAAGAACUAAAUUAAUGAUUGAUAGGAGCAGUUGGGGGCAUUUGUAUUUAACUGUCAGAGGUGAAAUUCUUAGAUUUGUUAAAGACACACUACUGCGAAAGCAUUUGCCAAAGAUGUUUUCAUUAAUCAAGAACGAAAGUUAGGGGAUCGAAGACGAUCAGAUACCGUCGUAGUCCUAACCAUAAACUA